GAGCCUGCCACGUUCCUGUUCCUUCUCCCCCGCCCCUGAGCAUGCGAACAGCUGUUUGGCAGUGGUCGGGCAGGAAACACUGCGAGGAGAGUACUUGGGCCUCCUAGUUCAUAUACUCCCACUGGUUUUGGUUCCUGAAGUCCACCUCUGAUCUGGAGACUGUGGAGGCUGGCUAACGAGAAGUGGAUGGGUGUUGAAGAUUUCGAAAUGCAGCUCAUUCAGUUAAAAAGCUCAGAAUUGUGGGCAUCAAAGUUUGGAGAUCCACGGAGUGCAUUUAAAGCUACGAAGAGAGAUCAUGGGGACUCUAUUCUGACCUGAUGGACAUCUCUGCCAGUGAAAUUUAACUGUUUGAAGAAAAUUGUGUUUGCAAUGCUUUCAGCAUUUGGAUCCGCAUACCUGUGUGAACAGGUAUUUUCACACAUGAAAUCUGUCCUCUGUCCCUCUUAGAGCCAGUUAACAACUGAUCACUUAGAAGCCUGUGUCCACCUUAAACUAUCCAAAUA